ACUCAAAUGAAUUGACGGGGGAGCGCACAACCGGUGGAGCAUGUGAUUUAAUUCGACACAAAGCGAAAGACCUUACCCGGGUUUGACAUGUAUCUGCACGUACUGGGAAACCAGUAUUUCUUCGAGAGUGAUACACAGGUGUUGCAUGGCUGUCGUCAGCUCGUGUCGUGGGACGUCCGCUUAAGUGCGGUAACGAGCGCAACCCCUAUCUUAUGUUGUAUUUUCAUAAGAGACUGCCCCGUUUCAGCGGGGAGGAAGGAGGGGACGACGUCAAGUCAGCACGACCCUUACAUCCGGGGCCAUACACAUCCUACAAUGGGAAAGACAACGGGUCGCGACGGAGUAAUCCUGAGCUAAUCCUUAUAAACUUUCCCUCAGUUCAGAUCGAGGGCUGCAACUCGCCCUCGUGAAGUCGGAAUCGGUAGUAAUCGCGGGUCAGCAGACCGCGGUGAAUACGUUCUCGCUCCUUGUACACACCGCCCGU
rnacentral:rRNA from 1 species